rnacentral:rRNA from 1 species
UACGUAGGGCGCAAGCGUUAUCCGGAAUUAUUGGGCGUAAAGAGCUCGUAGGCGGUUUGUCGCGUCUGCCGUGAAAGUCCGGGGCUCAACUCCGGAUCUGCGGUGGGUACGGGCAGACUAGAGUCCGGAAGGGGCGAGUGGAAUUCCUGGUGUAGCGGUGAAAUGCGCAGAUAUCAGGAGGAACACCAAUGGCGAAGGCAGCUCGCUGGAACGGUACUGACGCUGAGGCGCGAAAGCGUGGGGAGCGAACAGG